rnacentral:sRNA from 1 species
UUGACACCUGCACUUGCUGCAGUUGUCUAUUCAGCUACAGAGCAGAUAUAUUGCAGAGGCUGUUUAAGCUUCUGCCCACGGCCCUGUUGAUACGCUUUAGACUUGCCCAGAGAGGUGACCUCUAGGCAUGAGAUGGUAGCACAGUCUCCAUGCCCAUCCAGUCCUUGGCCUCU